GCCUCCUGCACACAUGCCCUUGACCAGGAAUUGAAUCCCGUGACCCUUUAGCCCUCAGGCCCACAGACUAACCACAGUGACAAACCGGCCAGGGCAGGACCGGUCCUUUUUCUUUUUUCUUUUUUUUGCUAGCAAUGGCAUAACUCUUUCUUUAAAAAAACAAAACAAAACAAAACCUUUCAGCCUUGGGAGUUAAAACGUUGCUGUUUAACAGCCACUGCCACUCGCUGCUGCCAAGCAGGGCGCAGGGAACAGGGCAGUGACACAGCUAGGAGCAGCGCUCACAGAGCAGCUCGCAGCCCUCAGCCCUGCAAGUCCCUGCACAGAGCUGGGCGUGGGCGGGUCCCCUCCUCUCCCCGUUCCCUGCUUUCCCUUCCGCGGGCCGGGCCCCACCUCCUCCACGCAGGCGGCCAAUCCCUGUCGGCUCCGGCCAGUUCGCGGGGGCAGCGGCGGACCGAGCCUGGGAGCUGCUGGAAAAGCGGGAGCUUUGCGCCCAGGGGCAGCUUGGAAAGGUGGGCAUUUCCUCUGUAUUCAGGUAGCCUUGGUCUCAGGGGACCAACCCUGCAUGGGUUACUGGGUUCAGCUUUAUAAAGUACUGGCCACUCCCACUGAAAUACUCACUGUGUCAACUCCCAGCUGAAGGGAGAGCCAGUGGCAACCUGAUUCCUCUCCUCUUUGAGCUGUGUCCUGCAGUGAGCUCCGUGCUGGGAGCUCCAGGCUGCCUCCCUAGCAUCAUCUCAGCUCUUCUCCCUUCCCAUCUCCCUAGUUUGCUUCCACUUGCC